UGACUCCCAUUGCACAUACCGGGAGG
rnacentral:snRNA from 1 species